rnacentral:rRNA from 1 species
GACAGAGGUGCCGAGCGUUAGGCGGAAUCACUGGGCUUAAAGCGUGUGUAGGCGGGCGGGCAAGUACCUUGUGAAAUCCCACGGCUCAACCGUGGAACGGCUGGGUAUACUGCCUGUCUUGAGCCAACUAGGGGCGAGCGGAACAGACGGUGGAGCGGUGAAAUGCGUAGAUAUCAUUUGGAACGCCAACGGUGAAAACAGCUGGCUGGGGGUGUGCUGACGCUGAGACACGAAAGCCAGGGGAGCGAACGGG